rnacentral:snRNA from 1 species
GUGCUGGCUUUGGCAGACAUAUACUAAAAUUGGAAUGAUACAGAGAUUAGCAUGGCCCCUGUGCAAGGAUGACAUGCAAAUUCAUGAAGUGUUCCAUAUUGAA